CGUGUAGCUCAGUUGGUAGAGCGCUGUGCUGAUAACGCAGAGGUCCUGAGUUCGAACCUCAG
rnacentral:tRNA from 1 species